ACCUGGCUGGCUCAGAGGAAGAGCAUGCGACUUUUGAUCUCAGGGUUGUGAGCUGAAGUCCCAUGUUGGGUG
rnacentral:tRNA from 1 species